CCCUAUGGGGCGCAGCAGGCGCGCCAGGGUUCCCAGCGCAUCCACCAGCCGCGGCCCCGGGCGGCUGAUCAGGUUGUCAUCAAAAACCAGGAUCUUGCCGCUCUCUACUGCCGCAAUCGCAUCCCAGCCGGGGCGGGCCGCCACCUGUUCGGGCGUCAUGCCGUAGGCGGCAUCACCCAGCAGAAUGAUCUCCGGGUUGGCCACAAUCAGUGCUUCCUGGCUGAUCUGUGCCCAACUGGAAUCCAUUUCAUCCCCCACAUUGCGCCCGCCUGCCAGGCUGAGCCACUUGCGCAUAAAGGUAUCCGGUCCGGCAGUCCAGGGUUUGGCGGGAGGGC
rnacentral:rRNA from 1 species